AAGUGAGAAUGCCGGUGUGAGUAGCGAAAGACGGGUGAGAAUCCCGUCCACCGAUUGACUAAGGUUUCCAGAGGAAGGCUCGUCCGCUCUGGGUUAGUCGGGUCCUAAGCUGAGGCCGACAGGCGUAGGCGAUGGAUAACAGGUUGAUAUUCCUGUACCACCUAUAAUCGUUUUAAUCGAUGGGGGGACGCAGUAGGAUAGGCGAAGCGUGCGAUUGGAUUGCACGUCUAAGCAGUAAGGCUGAGUAUUAGGCAAAUCCGGUACUCGUUAAGGCUGAGCUGUGAUGGGGAGAAGACAUUGUGUCUUCGAGUCGUUGAUUUCACACUGCCGAGAAAAGCCUCUAGAUAGAAAAUAGGUGCCCGUACCGCAAACCGACACAGGUAGUCAAGAUGAGAAUUCUAAGGUGAGCGAGCGAACUCUCGUUAAGGAACUCGGCAAAAUGACCCCGUAACUUCGGGAGAAGGGGUGCUCUUUAGGGUUAACGCCCAGAAGAGCCGCAGUGAAUAGGCCCAAGCGACUGUUUAUCAAAAACACAGGUCUCUGCUAAACCGUAA
rnacentral:rRNA from 1 species